rnacentral:rRNA from 1 species
GACAAACGCUGGCGGCAUGCCUAACACAUGCAAGUCGAACGGACAGAACAGGGAAGCUUUUCGGAGUGGAACUGGAAAGUUAGUGGCGGAUGGGUGAGUAACGCGUGGACAACCUACCUUGUAAAGGGGAAUAACCUCGAGAAAUCGAAGCUAAUACCCCAUAAUAACCUUGCUUCGCAUGAAGUAAGGAGGAAAGGCGGCCUUAGCGCUGUCGAUACAAGAUGGGUCCGCGUCUGAUUAGCUAGUUGGUGAGGUAAAGGCUCACCAAGGCGACGAUCAGUAGCCGGCCUGAGAGGGUGAACGGCCACAUUGGGACUGAGACACGGCCCAAACUCCUACGGGAGGCAGCAGUGGGGAAUCUUCCGCAAUGGGCGAAAGUCUGACGGAGCAAUGCCGCGUGAGUGAAGAAGGCCUUCGGGUUGUAAAACUCUGUCCUUAUCGAAGAGAGAGUGUUGUAGUAACUGACAAUACUAGGACGGUAGAUGAGGAGGAAGCCCCGGCUAACUAUGUG